AUGGGCUGGAGACUGGAAAAAUAUGACACAGUCUCACAGCAGGUUGUGAAAUAGUCACGAAAAUGUAAUCCAUUUGAUUCGUGUACGUAGACACAAAUUUCGCCUU